GAUGAACGCUGGCGGCGUGCUUAAUACAUGCAAGUCGAGCGAACGGACGAGAAGCUUGCGUCUCUGAUGUUAGCGGCGGACGGGUGAGUAACACGUGGAUAACCUACCUAUAAGACUGGGAUAACUUCGGGAAACCGGAGCUAAUACCGGAUAAUAUUUUGAACCGCAGGGGGCAAAGGUGAGAGACGGUCUUGCUGUCACGAAUAGAUGGAUACGGGCUGCAUUAGCUAGUUGGUAAGGUAACGGCUUACCAAGGCAAGGAUGCAUAGCCGACCGGAGAGGGUGAUCGCCGACCUUGGAGCUUAGACGCGCUCCAGGGUCCUACGGGAGGCAGCAGUCGCGAACGUGCGGCAGUGGGCGAAAGCCUGACGGAGCAGCGCGGCGUGAGUGAUGACGGCCUCCGGAUCGUAAAGCUGUGUUUCUAGGUAUGAACCGCUGUGUCAGUAACUGUGGCGUUCGUGACGGUACUGAAUCAGAAAGCCCCGGCUAACUACGUG
rnacentral:rRNA from 1 species